GGAGAGGUGUCUGAGUGGUCGAAAGUGCGGCUCUCGAAAAGCCGUGUCCCGCAAGGGACCGUGGGUUCGAAUCCCACCCUCUCCG
rnacentral:tRNA from 1 species